GACGAACGCUGGCGGCGUGCUUAACACAUGCAAGUCGAACGGUAAGGCCCUGCUCUUGCGGGGUGCUCAUGAGUCGAACGGGUGAGUAACACGUGAGUAACCCGUCCUUGACUUUGGGGUAACAUCAGGAAACUGGGGAGAAUAUCGCAUAGGAGCUUCUGCUGCAUGUGGGGGUUUGGAGAGAUUCGGCGGUUGGGGAUGGACUCGCGGACUAUCAGCUUGUUGGUGGGUCAGUGGCGUACCAAGGCUCUGAGGGGUAGCCGGCCUGAGAGGGUGACCGGGCACAUUGGGCCUGAGGUGCGGCCCAGACUCCUACGGGAGGCAGCGGUGGGGAAUAUUGCGCAAUGGGCGGAAGCCUGAUGCAGCAACGCCGCGUGCGGGAUGACGGCCUUCGGGUUGUAAACCGCUUUCGCCUGUGACGAAGAGUGAGUGACGGUAAUGGGUAAAGAAGCACCGGCUAACUACGUG
rnacentral:rRNA from 1 species